rnacentral:rRNA from 1 species
UACGGGAAGGGCAAGCGUUAUCCGGCGUGACUGGGCGUAAAGAGUCCGUAGACGGUAAAGUAAGUUUAUUGUUAAAUUUUAAAACCUAAUUUUAAGAAGGCAAUAAAAUACUGCUUUACUUUGAGUUUAAGUAUAGAAAAGUUGGAAUUUUAUAUGGUAAGGGGUGAAAUCCGUAGAUAUAUAAAAGGAAUGCCAACAGCGAAGGCAACUUUUUGGUAU